rnacentral:antisense_RNA from 1 species
GAUAACCGUAGAUUACAAAUGGAUCGAGUGUCGGUUCGGUGACGAUGCGAACAGUUUGACUUGCUGCAUCAUAAAGUCCGCCCCAGUACAUCGCUUUAGCAACUAGCAAUAAAGCGCCAACUCCCAAAAAUAAGAGAUGAUGCCCCAAAAUUAUUCCUAAUUGUUUGGGAUCGUUCCA